UGGGGAAUCUUGGACAAUGGGGGCAACCCUGAUCCAGCCAUGCCGCGUGAGUGAUGAAGGCCUUAGGGUCGUAAAGCUCUUUCGCCUGUGAAGAUAAUGACGGUAGCAGGUAAAGAAACCCCGGCUAACUCCGUGCCAGCAGCCGCGGUAAUACGGAGGGGGUUAGCGUUGUUCGGAAUUACUGGGCGUAAAGCGCACGUAGGCGGACCAGAAAGUUGGGGGUGAAAUCCCGGGGGCUCAACCCCGGAACUGCCUCCAAAACUAUUGGUCUAGAGUUCGAGAGAGGUGAGUGGAAUUCCAAGUGUAGAGGUGAAAUUCGUAGAUAUUUGGAGGAACACCAGUGGCGAAGGCGGCUCACUGGCUCGAUACUGACGCUGAGGUGCGAAAGUGUGGGGAGCAAACAGGAUUAGAUACCCUGGUAGUCCACACCGUAAAACGAUGAAUGCCAGUCGUCGGGUAGCAUGCUAUUCGGUGACACACCUAACGGAUUAAGCAUUCCGCCUGGGGAGUACGGUCGCAAGAUUAAAACUCAAA
rnacentral:rRNA from 1 species